AACGUAGGUUCCGAGCGUUAUCCGGAUUUACUGGGCGUAAAGCGCGUUCAGGCGGUUCGGCAAGUCGGGCAUGAAAUCUCUCGGCUCAACCGGGAGAGGUUGUCCGAUACUGCUGGACUUGAGGGCAGUAGAGGGUGGUGGAAUUCCGGGUGUAGUGGUGAAAUGCGUAGAUAUCCGGAGGAACACCAGUGGCGAAAGCGGCCACCUGGACUGUACCUGACGCUCAAACGCGAAAGCUGGGGGAGCGAACGGG
rnacentral:rRNA from 1 species